UACGAAGGGGGCUAGCGUUGUUCGGAAUUACUGGGCGUAAAGCGCACGUAGGCGGAUAUUUAAGUCAGGGGUGAAAUCCCAGAGCUCAACUCUGGAACUGCCUUUGAUACUGGGUAUCUCGAGUAUGGAAGAGGUGAGUGGAAUUCCGAGUGUAGAGGUGAAAUUCGUAGAUAUUAGGAAGAACACCGGUGGCGAAGGCGGCGACCUGGGUAGAUACUGACGCUGAGGCGCGAAAGCGUGGGGAGCAAACAGG
rnacentral:rRNA from 1 species